UACGUAGGGUGCAAGCGUUGUCCGGAAUUAUUGGGCGUAAAGAGCUCGUAGGCGGUUUGUCGCGUCUGCUGUGAAAACUCGGGGCUCAACUCCGAGCUUGCAGUGGGUACGGGCAGACUAGAGUGCGGUAGGGGAGACUGGAAUUCCUGGUGUAGCGGUGGAAUGCGCAGAUAUCAGGAGGAACACCGGUGGCGAAGGCGGGUCUCUGGGCCGUAACUGACGCUGAGGCGCGAAAGCCAGGGGAGCAAACGGG
rnacentral:rRNA from 1 species